rnacentral:piRNA from 1 species
UACAACAUAAUAUGGAAUGGAUGAUGGAUGU